rnacentral:rRNA from 1 species
CCUACGGGAGGCAGCAGUAGGGAAUAUUGCUCAAUGGGGGAAACCCUGAAGCAGCAACGCCGCGUGGAGGAUGAAGGUUUUCGGAUUGUAAACUCCUUUUGUUAGAGAAGAUAAUGACGGUAUCUAACGAAUAAGCACCGGCUAACUCCGUGCCAGCAGCCGCGGUAAUACGGAGGGUGCAAGCGUUACUCGGAAUCACUGGGCGAAAAGAGCGCGUAGGCGGGAUAGCAAGUCAGAUGUGAAAUCCUAUGGCUUAACCAUAGAACUGCAUUUGAAACUGUUAUUCUAGAGUAUGGGAGAGGUAGAUGGAAUUCUUGGUGUAGGGGUAAAAACCGUAGAGAUCAAGAGGAAUACUCAUUGCGAAGGCGACCUGCUAGAACAUAACUGACGCUGAUGCGCGAAAGCGUGGGGAGCAAACAGGAUUAGAUACCCCGGUAGUC